rnacentral:rRNA from 1 species
GACGAACGCUGGCGGCGUGCCUAAUACAUGCAAGUAGAACGCUGAAGGAGGAGCUUGCUUCUCUGGAUGAGUUGCGAACGGGUGAGUAACGCGUAGGUAACCUGCCUGGUAGCGGGGGAUAACUAUUGGAAACGAUAGCUAAUACCGCAUAAUAGUAGAUGUUGCAUGACAUUUGCUUAAAAGGUGCAAUUUCAUCACUACCAGAUGGACCUGCGGUGGAUUAGCUAGUUGGUGGGGUAACGGCUCACCAAGGCGACGAUACAUAGCCGACCUGAGAGGGGGGUCGGCCAACCUGGGACUGAGACACGGCCCAGAACCCCACGGGAGGCAGCAGGAGGGAAUCUUCGGGAAAGGACGGAAGGCUGAACGGGCAACGCCGCGUGAGUGAAGAAGGGUUUCGGAUCGGAAAGAUCUGUUGUAAGGGAAGAACGAGUUUGAGAGUGGAAAGUUCACACUGUGACGGUAUCUUACCAGAAAGGGACGGCUAACUACGUG